GCCCAGCUACCGGCCGGGCAGUUUAAUUCACCAGAGGGAGUAAUACAUAUUCAUAGUGUAGGCAAGGACUGCUCCACAGUAUACACCUGAAAGGAAAUUGUACCACCCCUGAUUGCACCAAACGAGGAACACCUCACUGCAAAUUCUAACAUCCAGUGACCCCUCAUCAAGAGACAGCUCCUCGGAACAUCAUCGCCUGAGAGUCUGUGAGGAUGGGAAUACUGGGCAUGCUCUCUAUUAUUGAUGAAAAGGGAUCCUAUGUGGAGAAAAUCUUCGGAACGAUAGCCAACAAAUCCUUCUGAAAUCUCAAAGAAAAGCUUUGUACUGUUGAUGAAGUAAGCUUGACAGUGAGCAACAGAACAACUUCUGCAUCCAGUACCAUGAAAGGCCAUAGUGUUCUACAGAACCAGAAACUGGAGGAUGAAGACCGAAUCAGCAUCUAGAUUGGCCAUACUAUCUUCCUGCCCAUGAUUUUCUCAGUACUAGAGACUUGAAUCCUCAGAACUCCACUGGGCUACAUGCAUCACUUUCUAUAUUAUUGCACUGAAAACUAUUUUUGGAAAUCACUUAGAGCAUUUAACAGAAUUUGUUUGAAUCUUCUGCUUUUGUACAGAAAUGAGAAUUCUUUUCAAAGAUCUUGAACAUCACCAUUAACCAGCAGAGAAAUCCAGAGGGCUGCUCAUAAGAGUAUGGAUUUAGCCUUGAGUAAGAACUCAGGUUCCAACUCAUUCCAUUCGAGGGCUCCUUUCCACCUUCCACUUAUCCAUAGGUCAGAAAAGCUUAUUAUAUGACAUUCCUUCUGUUCAUCUAUUUUACCAUAUGAUAUCAGUUACAAAUAUUUUUCACUUACAAUAAUUUUAUGCUGUAUAUUACACACUUUAUUGUUUUAAUAAAUGUCAUUCAAUAAUUUCAUAUCUUAGAUUUGUUCAUAGUUGUCCCUAGUCUUUGGAGGAUGCCAUCUGGCAGUCUUCUCCUCUAUAUCAGUUACUCGGGGACCUGCAGUUAUGUGGCAGAGUCAUUAGAAUCAAAUUAUUAGUCUUUUAUUCUGAACUCCUAUCACAUGAAGGGAUUUCUGAAACUGUAUUCAUCCAUCAUCCCUUCAAGUUCCAUACUUAGUUUAGUAGCUUUGACAAUACUGUUUACAAAGUAAUAUCCUGGUAUUCUUAACUGAGUCAAUCUUCAUGCUGGAAUGAGUUGAUAAGGGAAGUAUUUCCAGGCUGUAAGCUCAAAGCUUCAAAUUGUUAGGAGGAUCACCUGUUUUGUUAGUAUCUCCAGCCUCCUUACUACUUCAAGUAAGUGGAAUUUAAUAGUUUUUGAGAUAUUAUCACUAAUUCACAGAAUUUACCCUGAGAUUCCCAUAGAUCUCACUGUUGGCAGAUACCUUUUACCCCUUUGAAAAUGGUAACCACACAAGCAUGAAGAUAAAUGGAGCUAAUGGAGCCUAUGAAUCUGAAAAGUAUAAAACAGACAGCUCAGAGGUUGAACAAGGAGCCCAUGACUCUGGAGACACAAACACAAAGAAAGAGAAACACCUGACCCUUCUGAUUAAUCCACUUUCGCAGCAGCAUAGAUUGUAGAGUCACUGUCUUCAACAACAGGGAGGGUUCAUUCACUGUUUCCAACCACAGGAAAUGCUGCAGAAUAAUCAGGCCUUUGAAAUCUCUAGCUAUUCCAAAAUAUUCUCAGAAGGUGAGCCUUGAAUUGUUCAAUCAUGAUGCUCAUUAUCAUCACCCUGAUCAAAAUCAUCAGCAUCAACAUCAUCAAAAUCAUCAUCAUUGUCAUCAUCAUCAUCAUCAGUAUCAUCACCGCCAUCACCCUCAUCGCCAUCAUCAUCAUCAUCACCCUCUUCACCCUCAGGACCAUCAUCCUCAGGACCAUCAUCAUCAUCUACAGUCACCUUGUGUCACGCAGCAGAUGGGCAUUUAGUUCUUCCAGUGAUUAGAUCUUCUCUGAGCCGUUAGUUCCAUCGGUAAGCACUUUACACAGAUCUUUUCCAUUAGCGAGUUUUUAAACCAAGUUUUGUAGAUAGGAAAAUUAACUUUAUUGAGGCAUCAGUAACAGAAUCUUCAACACAAUUGUAUUUUAAAG